rnacentral:lncRNA from 1 species
GGUUUAAAGCCACUUCUGGAACUCUGACGCUCUGCACCCUUUCCCAGAGAGAGAACAUCCCUGACCCGGGAUUCUGGUCCCCUGAGUCACCCGUGUGCCCUGACGAGUGCCCCUGGCACCCAGGAAAGACCCUGCUCACCAGGGCUGUUGAUGUACAUGUGGAUGGGCUUCUUGUUGCUCUCGGAUUGCAGGAAGAGGAGCUGUGCGAUAACAAGGCUGGCAACGCUGUCAUCGAUCUGCAGAGGCAGAGUCUCACUAUGCUGUCCAGGCUGGUUUCAAAUUCCUGGAGUCAAGCAACCCUCUUACCUUGGCCUCCCAAAGCGCUGAGAUGUCAACAGAGGGAAAGAGUUGAAGAGACAGAAUUUCUCUUAUGUUGUCCAAGCUGGUGU